rnacentral:tRNA from 1 species
UUUUCACAUUGGCAGACAAAUGCAAUAGACUUAGACUCUAACUAAACCAAC